rnacentral:lncRNA from 1 species
GGAAUCUGUUCAGAUGGACAAAAGAGGUUAGCUAUGCAGACUAUUACGAGCGUGCUUUGACCAACGGUGUGCUCGGAAUUCAAAGAGGAACCCAACCUGGACUGAUGAUCUACAUGCUCCCAUUAGGUAAAGGUGUUUCUAAGGCUGUGACUUAUCACGGUUGGGGAACACCUUAUGAUUCCUUCUGGUGUUGCUAUGGCACUGGUAAACUUUUAACCACAAUCAUCUGGUCAUCUACAUUUUUGUAAGAUUCAAAUUUUGAGGGUAAUCAUUGUUUUGUUUCUGUCCACAGGAAUUGAAUCUUUCUCAAAACUGGGAGAUUCCAUUUAUUUUCAAGAAGAUGAUGUAUCUCCAGCUCUUUAUGUCACCCAAUAUAUAUCAAGCUCACUUGAUUGGAAAUCUGCUGGUCUUUCGCUAUCUCAGAAAGUUAAUCCCGUUGUAUCGUGGGAUCCGUACAUGCGUGUGACAUUCUCUUUCUCUUCUUCCAAAGGGGUAAACUUUUGCAGAACUUGAUGCAACCUGUUCCAUUGAACAAAGACUCUAAUGGAUCCAAUUUUCUUGCAGGGAAUGGCAAAGGAGUCGACUUUGAAUCUAAGAAUUCCAGUUUGGACAAACUCUGUAGGUGCCAAAAUAUCUUUGAAUGGGCAAUCCUUAAAAGUACCAAACUUCAGGUGAUUUGAGCAUUGUGUAUUGUAACCUUUAUAUAUCACCGGGAUUGAACAAAAGAUUACUAAAAAUUGGUUUUUAGGUACUAAAAAAGCAGAACCCGCUUGACUGUUACAGUCUUUAGUUGGUAAAAAUGAGAAUCAUAUUGGACCUGUCUUUUUCUUUGCAGGUAAUUUCCUAUCAAUCAAACAGAACUGGAAAUCUGGCGAUCAAUUAACCAUGGAGUUACCAUUGAGUAUCAGAACCGAAGCUAUAAAAGGUAUAAAACACAGUUCUGAAUCUUCUGAGGUUACUAUCCUUACUCUGGCAAACUAUUACUAGCAGUAUAUUAGAUAUAUUGUAUCAGUUACGCUGUGUAGAGUUGGUUAAGUUAAAAUGGUUCUUGAUCAUUGUGUAUAAAUUGUAUGCAACUCUGUUUUGACAAAGCAAUAACAACAGAAACUUAUUUUACAUUAUUUUGUGAGUAUUUCAGAUGAUCGGCAGGAGUACUCAUCUCUUCAAGCCAUACUCUAUGGCCCCUACUUGUUAGCCGGACACACGAGCAGGGACUGGAGCAUCACAACUCAGGCUAAAGCUGGAAAAUGGAUAACCCCUAUACCUGAAACUCAAAACAGUUACCUUGUCACACUCUCACAACAAUCUGGAGACAUAUCUUAUGUGUUUUCAAAUAGCAACCAAACCAUCACAAUGAGAGUAUCACCCGAGCCAGGGACACAAGAUGCCGUUGCAGCGACUUUCAGGCUCGUGACUGAUAAUUCUAAACCACGGAUAUCGGGUCCAGAGGCACUAAUUGGAAGCCUGGUCAAGCUUGAGCCGUUUGAUUUCCCCGGCAUGAUUGUAAAGCAAGCAACUGAUAGCUCCCUCACGGUUCAAGCUUCUUCUCCUAGUGACAAAGGAGCUUCUAGCUUUCGGUUAGUAUCUGGAGUUGAUGGGAAGCCAGGAAGCGUGUCGUUAAGACUAGAGAGCAAAAAGGGUUGUUUUGUGUACAGCGAUCAAACACUAAAGCAGGGGACGAAACUAAGGCUUGAAUGUGGUUCGGCUGCGACUGAUGAGAAGUUUAAAGAGGCAGCAAGCUUUAAGUUAAAGACAGGAAUGAAUCAAUACAAUCCAAUGAGUUUUGUGAUGAGCGGAACACAGAGGAACUUUGUGUUAUCGCCAUUGUUUAGCUUAAGAGAUGAAACAUACAAUGUGUACUUCAGUGUGCAAACUUGAAGAAAGAAACCCUCUUAAAAUUCUUUUAAGGUACAUUGGGAGAAAAAAUAAGAAAAAAAGUCUCAUUUGAAAUAUAUAUAGACAUGUGUUUAGAUGUUUAGCCUCUUAUUAGGUGGUUUGUGACUUUUGUGUUUUGCAAUUUCAUCUAAAAAUGUAUGUUGCUGUUACAUUAAAUAUAGACAAAUGUGUUUUUUAUAAAUUGUGCUAACGAUGAAUCCAUGUCUUUCUUUAUAUUCUAAAUAAAGAGUGGAGACUAGUUUGUUGCCGUGAAUCAUAGUCAGUGCAUUCAUGAAAUAAUAUUCUCAUAUGUGAUAGAAAUGUGUGUUUAGACAGAAAGUAUAUUUGUAUUUGAAAGAUGGAAGUGGCUAGCAGCUCCAUUUGUAUUUUGCUUGUGAAUUUGUGUCUCACGUUUGGAAAGCUCUAGCAAUAUGCCUCUACAAGACCAUCUACUCAAAGGACCGAAGUGAGAUAUUUGGGUUAUUGCCGUCGUAGAGACGAGCUUCUUCUGGUGUAUGGUUACAUGCCCAAUGGAAGUAUUUGUACGAUUGUCCUGAGGUAACACUUGAUUGGAAACAGAGGUUUAAUGUAAUUAUAGGUGUGGCCUCUGGCUUAUCCUAUCUCCCCGAGACAUCAAAGCCAGCAACGUUUUGGCAUUACAUUUUGUGAAAUUGCCUAAGAAGACUACAAAACCCAUUACUAUCUAUCUGAUGAUGAUGAUUUGCGAACAUGAAUCAUCUGGUUAACCGGUGGUUAUUGGAGGUAACCGAAGACUACAACUUGAGCCGGAGUUGGUUUGAGAAUUACAAAAUACAAUUAUCAUCUACUUGAAACCUCUGCUUCUCUCAGAGGUGUUAGCUUCUUCUUCAUGAUAUCAGACAUUACGGAUGCAGAGUCUAUGUGCUCCUCCUCGAAACCAAUCGAUCAGGCAAGCAAUUUCUCUCAUUGUCUACUUAAAGAGUUCAUUUUUCCCAGCAGAUUAUCCUCGGAAUCGCUGAUGUUUGUGUCUCGACUUUCUCUUAGGCAUUUCGUCGAAUCCCUUGAUCAAAAAGUUUCUUGAAGAAAUUUGACAAAAAGCUUUCUAAUUUCUGCGACAAAUCCUGUCCUCAGCCAUUAUGAGACACCAGGCGGCGAUGAGCAUUGUAGAGUACAUGCUCGAUGUUGACUCCCACAUGUGGAGCAUGAGGAGGAGUAAAGCUAACUUCUUCGUUGGUGAUGGUGUUUCGAGGAAAACCAUAAAUAGCCCACUGAUCUCAUAUCUCUCGAAAAACUUGUUCUUUUUUUACAACAAAACCGCGAAUAGCAUCCUCUGUUUUUAUCUAAAUCCUCUCUGUUUUUCUCUUCCACGUUAUUGAAUUCUAUUUUUAGCAGACAUUACUUUAAUCUUUAGAAUUCCUUUUUUUGGCAGACAUUGCUUUAAUCUUUACAGCUCUUUUCCUUUAUAAAUAUCUUCUCUUCUUCCAAUUCAAAUCUCAUCCCCUAACUAUUUUAUGAGUCUUGAGGCUCUUGGAUUCUGAAAAUUUGGGAUCUUAGGGUUUCGGGUUUUCAACCAUCUCUUUUUUUGGUGUCUUUUAAGGCAAAAAAAGAUACGAUGAAGUCUGGUGUCAUCAUAACCAUUGCUCUGUUAUUAUUCACAAGCUUUGUUCUUGUUUGUGUAGCGAAAGAGUGUACAGACAUUCCUACCAAGCUCUCAUCGCAUACUUUGCGCAGCGAGCUUCUGCAAUCACAGAACGAAACUUUGAAGACAGAGUUGUCCUCUCAUUACCAUUUAACUCCAACUGAUGACGCCGCUUGGUCUACUUUGUUGCCAAGGAAGAUGUUGAAAGAAGAGACGGAUGAUUUCGCUUGGACUAUGUUGUAUAGGAAGUUCAAGGACUCUAAUUCCUCUGGUAACUUUCUCAAGGACGUCUCUUUGCACGACGUUAGGCUCGACCCCAGCUCCUUUCAUUGGAGGGCUCAGCAGACAAACCUUGAGUAUCUAUUGAUGUUGAAUGUUGAUGGUUUGGCCUAUAGCUUCCGUAAAGUUGCUGGUCUUGAUGCUCCUGGAGUUCCCUAUGGAGGAUGGGAGAAACCAGAUAGUGAACUCCGUGGCCAUUUUGUCGGUAUAAACCUCUGCCUUUUUCCUCAAUUCGAUACAAUUUCUUGAUUCAUGUUGUUGAUAGUAUGCAAGAAAAGGUUUUGAGAUUUGAUGUUUGGUACAUAGAUUGAUUAGACCCUUAAGAUUGCAUAGGCCCUUAAAGGAAUCACCUUUUGACAUUUCAUAGACCCUUGAAAGGAUUUUCAACCUUAAAGGAAUGACCUUUUAGUUGAUGGCUCAAAAAUCUCUCUCUGUUUGUUUUGAAGGUCACUAUUUGAGUGCAACAGCUUAUAUGUGGGCAAGUACUCAUAAUGAUACUCUCAAGACGAAAAUGUCAGCUCUUGUCUCUGCUUUAGCGGAAUGCCAGCAAAAAUCUGGCACAGGAUAUCUCUCUGCUUUUCCUUCCAGUUUUUUCGACCGGUUUGAAGCUAUAACACAUGUUUGGGCUCCUUACUACACCAUUCACAAGGUGAAUAGUCAGACCCUUUGACUGAGAUGUAGAUUGAUAUGCUUAUGUUUUGCAAAAGAGUAACAUCUCUGUCUUAAUUUUGACAGAUUUUGGCCGGCCUGGUGGAUCAAUAUAAGUUGGCUGGGAAUACUCAAGCUUUAAAGAUGGCAACAGGGAUGGCUGAUUACUUUUAUGGCCGUGUUCAAAAUGUGAUAAGGAAGUACAGUGUUGAACGACAUUGGCUAUCACUAAACGAAGAGACUGGUGGCAUGAAUGAUGUUCUUUAUCAGCUAUACAGCAUCACUGUGAGUUAAAAUCUUAUCAGACUCUAAAAAGCAACCUUAGAUUUGUGUUAUAUCUAGCUUUGUGUUAUAUCAUAGUGUUUUGGACUCUGCAGCGAGAUUCCAAGUAUUUGUUUCUCGCACAUCUCUUUGACAAGCCUUGCUUUCUCGGGGUCCUCGCAAUUCAGGUAGGUUACUUGAUGAUUAGCUUGAAGAGAUGUGAAUGGUAAGGUCACAUAACUUGACAUGCAUUUUUGCAGGCCGAUGAUAUUAGUGGAUUCCACGCUAAUACACAUAUUCCCAUCGUCGUUGGAUCCCAACAACGAUAUGAAAUCACUGGUGAUCUACUCCAUAAGGUAUUGAAGUGUAACCAAGAAAAGUUUAUCAAAGAAGAUAUUGGUUCUCUUGAUUCUGAAAUAUGCAUUUCCAGGAAAUCUCGAUGUUCUUUAUGGACAUAGUUAAUGCUUCUCACAGCUAUGCAACUGGAGGAACAUCAGUCAAAGAGUUCUGGUACUACCAUUACCUGACGUUAGAGUUUGGUUCUUUGUAACAUGACUUUUUGUUUUAAGUCUUAACCAUGUUUUGGGAAUGUUAACAUUAGGCAAGAUCCAAAGAGAAUGGCGACUACACUGCAAACUGAAAACGAGGAAUCAUGUACUACUUAUAACAUGCUCAAGGUAGGAUUUUAAACUCUUUUUAUUUGCUCAAGGUAACAUACUAACAUAUGAACACUUCUACAACUUCAGGUCUCUAGGAAUCUGUUCAGAUGGACAAAAGAGGUUAGCUAUGCAGACUAUUACGAGCGCGCUUUGACCAACGGUGUGCUUGGAAUUCAAAGAGGAACCCAACCCGGACGGAUGAUCUACAUGCUCCCAUUAGGUCAAGGUGUUUCUAAGGCUGUGACUUAUCACGGUUGGGGAACACCUUAUGAUUCCUUCUGGUGUUG